CCUCCAAUCCAAUCUUUGAAGCCAUCUAUACACCAUCCAAUUCCUCUUUCCAAUCUGUUUUAGUAGCUUACAUCAAGAACCGCAGAUUUUUAACCUCUGACACCCCCAAACCACUAGCUAUCGUCACUGCUCUGCAUGAAUCCCAUGUCCAGGCAACCGUUAUUUGUGCCAAGUUUCAUGGCUUGCAGAUCAGAAUCAGGAGUGGUGGCCAUGAUUUUGAGGGUCUUUCUUAUAGAUCUGACGUCCCAUUUGUGAUUCUUGACCUGUUCAAUCUCCGGUCUAUAGACAUAGAUAUUGCCUCUGAGACUGCGUGGG
rnacentral:misc_RNA from 1 species